UGGAGCUUGACUCCACCUCCUCUAGACCUCAUUUAAGGGCUGACCACCACUAAGGCAGCAUCUCUUGGAGAUGCUUCCUGGUGGAGAUUACCUCAGCAUUUCCUAGCAAGGGCAUCCAUAUUGGGUAUUUUACUCCUCUGCCUUCUCAAAUGUUGUCCAAGGUUUUUCUUAAUGAGGACUAAAGAUGGCCUUCCGGCUGUGAGUGGAAACCUCAUCACCCUGCACCCAGGAAACUUUCUCCCAUUUCCUGGAUGAAUUGUUCAGGACAGAAAACAGCACAAUAUUCACGUAUGUGACCUUCCGCUAUUUGCCUCCUCCUGGCUUGUACAUUUGCCUCACAGGAGAGUGGGACCCAUGUGAAUGGACCACGAGAGUGUUCAUAUGUCUUAGAAGUUGGAGAGAUCCUCAUUACAAAACUAAGAAUUUCUUUACGAAAGAAUCUUAGCUUUCUAAUGGAUGUGGGACCCUUGAAAUCAACCCAUGCUUUUGCAUUUUUGUGGAGAAAACAAAGCUGAGUAUACUUAAAUUGUUAGUGUUAGUAUAGUAUUAAACUACAGAGUUACAGAACUGCUUCAUUCAAGACAACUAGACACUGAUGUGUCCCAUGUCAGGUAUCAUUUAAGCAGCCAUGCAAUAUCACGGUGAAGGGUAUAUCUGUAUUUCAAGAGGGCUCUGCAUCUGUACCAUGGGGGAUACAAGUUGUGUUUGUAUUAGAAAUAUUUCUUUUGCGGCUUGCCUACUUCUUACAUCUUGCUUCUUGCAU